ensembl:misc_RNA
UUGACAGCCCUGGAGAGGGAAGUCCUGAGUUUAUCCACAGAACAGGACCACCAUGGGCAACAGCAAUUCAGCCCACUUCACAAUAACCUGGAGAGACCUCUUCUAAAGGGGACAAGGCUCAGUCUUCAUGACCUAUACGAUCCUUGGUGCCU